UAGAAUUUCCACAUCAUGCACAUCAUCUUUUAUAUCAAGUGAAUGAAACAAAAUUCUUCACAUCUGACUAAUCAUUGCAGCAUUGUCUGAGUUACAUUCAUUGUUGCUGGCGCCCCAAGCCAAGUCCAUAUUUUUUAGCCACAAAGUUUGUGUGCACUGGAGCCUGAAACUAUCAACAGCAGAACGGAUUACCGCCAGUCAUUGUUCUCAAUGAGGUGAGAGUGGAGUGUGCCCUGGCAUCUUUGAAGCGGCGACUCAGGCUGCUGACUCUCUCCAUGACGAGCUGCCAGAUCCAGCACCUGCACCAUUUCCUCCACCACACGGUCAUCUUCCUGGGUCAAGUUCCUGGCCUCGCGGGCAAUCCUCGCCAUGGAAACCAUGAACUGCAAGACCUGAGCCCUAGGACCAUGCCUCAGGACUACCUGACA